AGGAGAAGAAUGCUGCUCAGCUGGGUCGGCGAAGCUCUUGGAUAUCAUCAGCAUCUAUGAAGGCACCGGUAGGCACAGAGUCAUUCCGGUAGGCACGGAGUCGUUCCUCGAUGGACGUGAUGACCUGGCACCAAAACCGCUUAAUGUGUAUGAAGCUGUCUGCAUCGAGGGAAGAACCCAGUACUGAAAUGACACAAGUAAAAGGAGAAGAAUGCUGCUCAGCUGGGUCGGCGGUCACACUACUUAUUCAAGAAGCUCUUGGAUAUCAUUGGCAUGUAUGCAGGCACCGGUAGGCACAGAGUCAUUCCGGUAGGCACGGAGUCGUUCCUCGAUGGACAUGAUGACCUGGCACCAAAACCGCUUAAUGUGUAUGAAGCUGUCUGCAUCGAGGGAAGAACCCAGUGCUGAAAUGACACAAGUAAAAGGAGAAGAAUGCUGCUCAGCUGGGUCGGCGGUCACACUACUUAUUCAAGAAGCUCUUGGAUAUCAUUGGCAUGUA